rnacentral:rRNA from 1 species
UACCAGCACCCCGAGUGGUCGGGACGAUUAUUGGGCCUAAAGCAUCCGUAGCCGGUCCUGCAAGUCUUCCGUUAAAUCCAGCUGCUCAACAGAUGGGCUGCAGGAGAUACUACAGGGCUAGGAGGCGGGAGAGGCAAGCGGUACUUUAUGGGUAGGGGUAAAAUCCGCUGAUCCAUAGAAGACCACCAGUGGCGAAGGCGGCUUGCCAGAACGCGCUCGACGGUGAGGGAUGAAAGCUGGGGGAGCAAACCGG